rnacentral:rRNA from 1 species
GGAACUGAGACACGGUCCAGACUCCUACGGGAGGCAGCAGUGGGGAAUAUUGCGCAAUGGGGGAAACCCUGACGCAGCAACGCCGCGGGGGUGAUGAAGGUCUUCGGAUUGUAAAGCCCUGUUUUCUAGGACGAUAAUGACGGUACUAGAGGAGGAAGCCACGGCUAACUACGUGCCAGCAGCCGCGGUAAUACGUAGGUGGCGAGCGUUGUCCG